rnacentral:rRNA from 1 species
UCCGUAGGUGAACCUGCGGAGGGAUCAUUACCGAGUUUACAACUCCCAAACCCCUGUGAACAUACCUUGAGGUAGCCUCGGCGGAUCAGACCGCGCCCUGUAAAGCGGGGCGGCCAAAAAGAGGACCCAAACUCUAAUGUUUCUUAUUGUAACUUCUGAGUAAAACAAACAAAUAAAUCAAAACUUUCAACAACGGAUCUCUUGGUUCUGGCAUCGAUGAAGAACGCAGCAAAAUGCGAUAAGUAAUGUGAAUUGCAGAAUUCAGUGAAUCAUCGAAUCUUUGAACGCACAUUGCGCCCGCUGGUAUUCCGGCGGGCAUGCCUGUUCGAGCGUCAUUUCAACCCUCAAGCCCCCGGGUUUGGUGUUGGGGAUCGGCUCUGCCUUACGGCGGUGCCGCCCCCGAAAUACAUUGGCGGUCUCGCUGCAGCCUCCAUUGCGUAGUAGCUAACACCUCGCAACAGGGACGCGGCGCGGCCAUGCCGUAAAACCCCAACUUCUGAAUGUGACCUCGGAUCAGGUA